rnacentral:antisense_RNA from 1 species
UGUGGGAGCGAGCCUGCUCGCGAUUGCGGUCUGACAUUCAGCAUUUUUUGUUGGCUGAUCCACCCCCAUCGCGAGCAGGCUCGCUCCCACA